rnacentral:miRNA from 1 species
AUGAUAUGUCCAGUUAAAUAUGAAUUUUAGAUAAACAACAAAUGAUUUUUCAGUAUAAAUAUGAUCCAUGUGAUAUUUGGGACACACUUAUACUAAAAAUUAUUUAUUAUUCAUCUGGAAAUUCAAAUUUAAUUGGACUCCUGUAUUUU